UUAUUUCUGAGAUAACUUAGAUACGGUUUUUACAGCCCAGUGCAGAGGGUGAUUGAGACUAUAAAGCAAAGCCUUAAAACCACUGGAUUUUUCUGCCUACCGUAAUUCCACAAUGAAACCAUUUUACACUAAAGGAAUUUAAGAAGAAAAAGCCUGGGCAUCCUCUCCCUUCCUUCAGCAGCUGUUUUCACUCUGUAUUUUAAUGAGUGGGCUGAACUAAAACCAUCAGGGAAGGGCUUUCCCCUCUGGCACCCCAUGUAAAAGGCUUUGCUAGUGUGUCAUGCUUUUUGCCUGUGUGAAAUGAGUAAAUGCCUAUCGGUGGACAGUUCAAAGAAAGGGCUUCAUCAUGUUCUUGACUGGUUAAGUUCUUUGGUACAAGCUGUUUUUUAUUUCCCUGGAAUUCACAUUAGUCACAAAAACAUCGGGAAUAACUGAAGAGCUCCUAUUGCUUUUGAGAUAUGUCAUAAGCUUGUCACAAGCUCUUUCUUUUCUUUAAUGGCCCACUUUGCCAGGCAGUGCAGUGUGAAAAUAUGGUGUGUGUUACUGUGAACUAAUUACAUGUGAAAAGAAAGCAGUCGCAGGUGGAGAACCGUGACCCUUUCCACUGGGCCUGAAUAGUUCAACCAGCUGAUUUCAAGAAAAGCAGAACCUGGAAGUGCAGAAGACACAUUCCUCUGGCACAAUGAGCUCUGAACAAGAAGCUGACGUGAUGAAAACUGUGGUCAAUGGGCUGAUACCAAACAGCAACGGACAAGAGAACGCCAUUGACGACCCUUUAUGUGCACGCUCUAUUUCUGCCGUUAAAAUAACCCCCGUGAAGAAAGUGAAAAGUUCUCCCGGCCUAAUUCUACCUACAGACAAGGAUCCCACCAAAGUUUGCACUGGAAAAGGGACUGUAACCCUACGAGCAUCUCCGGCCUCUGACGAAAGGCCAACUCUCAAUCCCCCACGUUCUCCAGAUGUUGAGCCGUUGGAAACUCUGGAGACAGGAAAACCCGAACCAGAUGACUGGCGGUUAUCCUCUAAUGGAGAUAUCCAGCCAUCUUCUCUGGCUGCCAAGGGCUAUAGAAGUGUGCGUCCCAACCUCUCCCCAGAGGGAAAACCACAGGCCCUUUCCCCUCCCCGUCCUCCUCUUCCAAAGGAAGAGAGCUAUGCAUGGUGCCCACACACUGACACGAAAGUAACCAACCUGCUGCCAGUCCCCAUCAUGGACUGUGUGUAUGUGAAUGCAUCCAAGCCUGCUGCCCAGCGUGUGUCACCGAGUGGCAGCAGCCGUCACUGCUCCUCCUCUCGUGCACCCUUUGGGAGAAUCCCCGGGGGGAAGCCAAGCUUCUCCACAGGGCUUCCGCCCACAGCUAGUGUGAUUCCCAAGGACGAGGGGCACGCUGAGCAGUCCCUUUUGGGAGGUAGCUCCUUGUUACUGGGCACUUCAUCUAAACAUCGCACCCCUGCCAGGACAGCCCCUGGCGUUGCUGCUGGAAUGCAUUCCACACAUGGGACUCUAGGGGCUAGAAAGGUCAGCAGUCUGUAUGUGGCUUGUUUAGCUAACAGCACUUGCUCCGCUGCACCUGACUGUUCCCCCAGCAUUGCACAUGCCCACGCAGAGAGCCCCCAUUUGGGAGCUGAGGCCACCCAAGCACCAGCCACCAACACAGUUUCCCCUGUAAUGGGUACUGGGAAAUCUUUUCCUCUCCCUCCCCCUCCCGCUGUCCCUCCCAGGCCAUACUUUAACAUUGUCCUCAGUAAAGACGCAGUUAGCUCUGGUGCAAGCCAUUCCUCCUGGACUCAGUCGCCACCUCCUCGGGCUCUGAGGGACCCAGGGCUAGAGCCCCCGAGUGCGCCCGGCUGUGGGGACAGGAUGAGAGAGGAGCCCUGCCUUACGCAGCAGCAGCAUCUGUACAAGGACCCAUGUCCUGUGCUAAAUGAAGUCUCCCCACCUCGAAUUGGCACGGAAUGCCAACCCACCUUGACAGCGAUCCACAAGCCUUCCUCUGCCUAUCCCUCAACCACAAUUGUCAACCCUACCAUUGUCCUCUUGCAGCACAACAGAGAACAGCAAAAACGGCUUAGUAGCCUGGCAGAUUCCCUGCCAGACAGACCAGCUGUUGAUAAAGUAGGCACUGUGUCUGUACAGGAAAAGCCAGCUCAGGAUAGUGCUCAAAGUGAGAAGUCAGCAAUGGAUGAGAAGAAAAGAGCUGUCAAGAGUCCCCAAUAUAUAUCUGAUGUCUCCGUGGAUGAUGUGGGCAUUCCACUAAGGAACACAGACAGAUCAAAGGACUGGUACAAGACAAUGUUCAAGCAGAUCCACAGGCUAACUAAAGAAACUCCUGAAGAAAAUCCUUAUUGCCCUACCUACAAAUUCCCUGAACUUCCUGAAAUCCAGCCAGCACCCAAAGAAGACAACCCUUAUUGUCCUACAUACCAGUUUCCUGCGUCUACUCCUAGUCCUAUAUCUGAAGAUGAGGAUUCUGAUUCUUACUCUCCUCAUUAUUCGUACUCUGAAGAUCCAAGAGCCCAGCCCUCAGUGCCCCGGUCCAAGAGUGAAAUGGACAGCAUUGAACCUGACAGGUCUGUUAAGAGAUCUGCUACUCUGCCACUUCCUACACGUACUUCAUCACUGAAAUCCAGCCCAGAAAGGAAUGAUUGGGAACCCCCAGACAAGAAGGUGGAUACCAGAAAAUACAGGGCAGAACCCAAGAGCAUUUAUGAAUAUCAGCCAGGAAAGUCCUCUGUUCUGGACAAUGAGAAGAUGACACGGGAUAUAAGCCCAGAAGAGAUAGAUUUAAAGAAUGAACCUUGGUAUAAAUUCUUUUCGGAAUUGGAGUUUGGGAAACCGCCUCCAAAAAAGAUAUGGGAUUAUACUCCUGGAGAUUGCUCUAUACUUACUAGGGAGGAUAGAAAGACUGAUCUAGAAAAAGACAUUUUCCUCUACCAGACUGAGUUAGAGGCAGAUUUAGAACAAAUGGAGAAGCUUUAUAAAGCGCCAGAUAAAAAGCCACCGAAGUUUACAGCAAGCAGCCCUCCUCUGGAAACAUCCUCAGACUACGCAUCCCACUCAGCAUAUUCACCCAGCUACCAGGCAUCAAGGCGAGAGCUAGAGUCAGCACCUGCAGAUCCUGCUGGCUUGGAGAAUGAAAGGCAGAUUUACAAAAGUGUGCUGGAAGGUGGCGAUAUCCCACUGCAGGGGCUAAGCGGUCUCAAGCGCCCUUCUAGUUCUGCUUCCACUAAAGUGGAUCGUAAAGGUGGGAAUGCUCAUAUGAUUGCACCCUCUUCAGUUACUAGCCGAACCUUUACCGCUAGUCAUACCGGUAUGUCAGGUCAUGCAUGUAAACAUAAGAAGCCUUUAUCAGCUGCAAAAGCCUGCAUUCCUGAAAUCCUCCCAUCCAAAUUCAAACCCAGACUAGCUGCUCCAGCUACUCUUGUGCAGGACACAAACGGUAUCCUGCUGCCUCAUGAAAAAACUCAGAGCUGUGAGAACCUUCGGAGCUCCAGUGCCUUGUUUGAAAACAAAAAGGCUUUCCUGGUUGACUUAGGGAAAAGUGUAGAAAACCUGCUAAUGAAAUCCAAGCAGGAGUAUGUCACCAAAUCUAGCAGCACCGUGAGCCUGCAGGAGUACAGCACCAGCUCCAGGAAGGGCUACAUUCCCCUGGGUCCCAGGAAGAGUGGGAUGGAGUUUACAGUGCUGUAUAAAAACAUGCAUCAGAUCAACAGGUCCAGGAUCCACCUGGGCACUGUCUCAUCCUGCAGUGUGAGGGAUAUCGCCUCCCAGUUCGAGAAUGAGCUGAGAGACAGGAGUGAGCAGAGCCCCGGUCGGGAGAAUUCGGAGCAAAUUCCCAAAAACACCGUCUCAUCCCGCAUCACUGCCUUUGAGCAGCUGAUCCAGAGAUCCCGGUCCAUGCCUGCUCUCAACUUCUCCAGUGGGCCCAGCAACCUGCCCACCUCUCCCCAGUUUAAGAGCUGCUUGAGCGCAGCCUGUUCAGCAGAAUCCCUGCUGGAGUCACUAAAGCCAAGCCAAGAAGAAAAGGAUGCUGCCAGCAUGGCCGACAACUCCUCUCACUCCUGCGGCAAUGUGGAGGACUCGGCAUCAGAGCUCAGUGACGUUGCCCCCAUGGACACGCUCUCAGCUUGCACGGACGAGACUGAUCUCCAGUCCAAUGCAUCCAAUGACAGUGGCAGCUGUCUCAGUCAUCUCAGCGGGCCCCAGAAAUAUAAAUUAAACAAAUGCAAAGGGGCCUGCCCAGCUUCUUAUACCAGAUUCACCACCAUUCGCAGGCAUGAGCAGCAGCAGGUCUCCAAGAACCCCAGUUCCAAAGGGGACACCCACAGGGAAAGGCACGCGCUCCCCAGAAAUGUCUAUCUGAUGAGCCCGCUUCCCUUCACAUUGAAAAAGCCCUUUCACCACAGUCCCAGAAAGACUCCGCCCCCAGAUUGCCUGGGAAUCCCGCUGGUGCACAGCACCGAGUACCAGAGUAAUGCAGCACGGCUCCAAGAGCACCACGUGGAAAAGAGUCACUGUUCCCUGCACUCACUGUGCUCCGAAGACAGACCUGUGGCCCCCAAGCGCCUGUCUUCCUUUGACAUCAUGGAAAGGCUUAGCCAUUUCCCCCGCAUGGAAUCCAGCUCAGAAAGCUGCAUGCUCCAAGCUGAUAUGCCAGCCUCCUUUAAUAAUGGGAAUAUUGUUCCAUGCACUUUCUAUCACAGCUUGGAUAGAAACAACAACCCGCAAAGCGAACUCCGGACGUACCCUGGAGGUGGCUUUUUGUGUACUUUACCACUGUUACUUUGUCUUCCCACUUCACUUUUUUCUCUGUAUUUUUGUUGACCCACAUCUGUAUCAAUUAGUGCUCAUUUUCCUUGUGUGUCUGGUGUCUGUUGCCUUUCUUGCUUAGCAUUUUAGUUCAGGUCUCAUUAUCAGCUGCACUUCUGAAAAACAAUUUCUGCUGCCUUUUCUAAUUGCCAUCCAACUUGGUUUGUCUCAAAGGCAACUCCUAGGAUGUAAGAAUCUUGCAAUGAGAGAUUCUUUUUCCCAUAUCACGUGCAUACAGGCAAAUAAAACAUGUCAACCCAGUUGAUUUGGUUUUCUAGGAGCAGUUCUUCCAGGUCUUUGUGUUUCUGAGUAUGCAAUCAUGUUUGUAUGUGUUUGCAUGGGUGGUGACAGCAUUAUGGUAAAUUCUAUUUCAAUGGCAGCAAACCUUUUCUUCACAAAGUCUGUUUAUGUUUUUACUUGCUUUCCCACCUUCGUAUUCUCUUUUGGUUCUAUGUGUGUUCACAAUGUUACUCCUGAGGGAAUUCUGCACCAAUAUGCAUGUGAGGAAUUCACAUCCCCUGCAGAUUUAUUUGCUUCCCUGCAGAAAAAUGACUGUCUGACAGGGAAGCAAAGGGGAAGCUGCAAGAGCAGUUGUGCACCAUUCCCCACCAGUGCAAGUACAUCGCCUCAGGCACUUGGAGCAGCCAGCAGAGAGGUAAAUCCCCUACCUUGAGCCAGAAUCAGAUGCUAGUCCUGGCUGGGCUGGAAACAGAAGAGAACGGGACUUUCUCUUCCCUGGCAAGAAAUGGCUGGAGCUGUGUCAGAACCACCCCCUGGAAGCCUCCCCCAGCUGCAGGAAGUUCAGCGUCCUCCCGUUUCCUAUCCCUAUCACUCCUCAGCCAAGGGGCAAAGGGUCACUGUAUGUGGAGCUGCUCCCCCAUUCAUCCAACCUCUAUGAAUCCAGACCUCCCAUACCCGGCCUCCUGUGCCAGACUUCACACCACGCACCCAGACCUUCCCUAACCCUCCAGACCUGAACUCCACCCCACUGAGUGUCAGCCUCUACAUCAGGAAUCUCUGUGCACCCAGAUCCCCUGCUUCUGGACCUCCCCCGCACACUGAGCUCCCUGUACAAGCUCGAUCCCCCUGCACCACUUGAGCCUCCACGUCCAGACCCCCAACUAACUUGCACGCAUAACCCCAGCUCACCAAGUCCCACUCUCCCAUGCUCCAACCACCUUCACCUGGAAGCCCCCACAGAGUCCCAUUGCACCUGGUACCCCCCAAUGAGUCUCUGUGCAUCCAGAUGCCCUCACACCUGCCCCCUGAGCUGCCUGUACCCAGACUGUCUGACCCAAAACCCUCUCUGUCCACACCUGGAUCCCCCCACCCUGAGCCCCUCCACACUUGGGAUCCUGCCUGGAUGAACCUGCCUGCCCCGUACCUGGUGUGCCUGUCACAGAGGCGCAAGGUGGCUGGGUGUUACUGAGGCAGGCUCUGGCCUUGUGCUGUGUCAGAAUCGGGUGCAGUCUCCCCAUUGAGUCUGUGUCCCAGAAUGGGGGGGGGAGAUGCAGGGUGAUGUGCUCCCCACUGCCAUGCUAGAGCCACAUUUAUUUAUUGUCAAAUAAAACUUGCAGAAUUUUAAAAUAUUGUGUGCAGAAUUUCUAUAUUUUUGGUGCCAAAUGCCCACAGGAGUAUCACAAGUACAGCCCAAGAGGAAAAAAUUCAAACUAUUAUCAAUAUUUGAGAAGAUAGUCAACAACAAUUGAAAAUCCUUUAUAGCUGAAAUGGAAGCAAACUCUAGUGAUGUCAGAAUCUUUUUUUUUUCCUUUCUGAUGAUGCAGAAUAAAUCCAUUUGUUUUUUAACUGACUUGUGUUGUUUUGAAGUAGAUUCAGAAUCACCAAGGCAUUUUGCACCAGUUGAUUAUAUGGAAACUCCAGAAGAAAUGACUCGUAGACGUCUUGAUGAUAAAGAGAAACUUUUAGAGGACCAGAGACGACUUAAACGUGAGCAAGAAGAAGCUGAUAUUGCAGCUAGA